CGUCGAUCUAGGAGGUCUUAGCUUAGUUAAAGUGACUGAGUAGCAUUCAGGAGAUGCAUAUUAGAAUUAUGCAGGCUAU
rnacentral:tRNA from 1 species